UACGAAGGGUGCAAACGUUGCUCGGAAUUAUUGGGCGUAAAGCGCACGUAGGCGGCUUGGCAAGUCGGAUGUGAAAUCCCUCGGCUCAACCCAAGGAAGUGCAUCCGAAACUGCUGAGCUUGAGUACGAAAGAGGAUCGCGGAAUUCCCCGGUGUAGAGGUGAAAAUUCGUAGAUAUCGGGGAGGAACACCAGUGGCGAAGGCGGCGAUCUGGGUCGAUACUGACGCUGAGGUGCGAAAAGCGUGGGGAGCAAACAGG
rnacentral:rRNA from 1 species